CUUCACCGAGCCCAGCCACAGCGGGCGGCCCGCGGGCCGGCCCUGCCCGUACGCGGACAGCAGUGCCUGGGCCUC
rnacentral:antisense_RNA from 1 species